AAUUCUUAAUUAUAUGGACUAAAUGAUGAACAUGUAAGAAUAAAUCUGACCUUUACAAAUCAAAGAAGAUGAAGUUAUAGUCGACUUCAAUAGUAAGUUUCUUCUCUCUGCUAGAUACACACUACUCAAUCAAACAAUGUCUUUGGUCCAAUAUAAUGAGGGUAUUUUUCUGUGAGAGCAGUUACUACUAUUUAUAUUGACAAAUAAUAUAUCCCUGCAAUUCUCCUAAACCAAGAUUGCCUCCCAUUUUUUGAUACAAGUGAGUAAUUUAGGAUCAAUUCCUAGUUUUAAUCCUUUAUUAACUAGGACAGUCAAUUCCAAUAAGUCUUUUCUAAACUAAUUUAAACUAAAACGACUGACCAGUAUACACCUACACUUAUGCUCAUAUUCUAAUAGAACAUGUUCAUAUGUGUUCAUACCUCUCCAAUCAUACUCCCUAUUUUGAUUAUAAACUAAUUUAAACAUAGUAGUAAUUAAUGCUAGAGUCAUUAGGAGCUUCUUUUUCCCUUCCCAGAUUUAAGAGCUACUAGAGGAUUGAAUAUGAAUUUUUUUUAACUAUCGCUAAAUUUUAGCAAGGAACUCAUUGGAGAAUCUCUAGUUAGAAAGCGUUACUAGCCCUUUACUAAUCAUUUAUUUUUAGAGUUUUUAGUUUUCAUUGUAUUAGAAAUAGAUGAGACCUAUAUAGAAAUGUGGGAAAUAGAAUAGUGAAGGAAGGAUGGGAAGAGAUGUAGAAAAUGGAUAACGAAGACACAAAAAAUGAAAACUAAAGACCAAAAAUUAUUAGGGUACCAUCUCAUGUGGCAAGUGAUGCAUGUAAUGAGAGAAAUUCAUUAAUUAACAUGACAUGUACACACCACUUGUCACAUUGAAUGACACGCAAAUGUGAUACAAAAAUGGGAUCUUCUUUCAAAAAUUAUUUUAAGUUCUUUUCACUUAAGCCUUUGUUUUUUCGGUAAACUACUUAAGCCUAUCAUGAUGGUGAAAACUAAGUUAAUUAUAUUGUUAAUUUUAAUCCUAUAUAUGCAUGAUCAAUCAUACACAGGAUGGCCUCGAGUGUUUUCGAUCGUGAAGCAAAUAAAAAAUGAAAAAUCACUAUCGGAGCUCACUCAUCUGCUCGUAGAGAAAGAUUAUUCGUGGGUAGAAAGUAAGAAAACAGAGAAAGACAAGACAGUUUCAUUGGUGUCCUUACAGAAAGAUAGAGCUGCUAUUGGUGGUGAUGGAAGAGAAACAAAAAAAUAUACUAUUUAUAACUACACCCCACUGCUUAUAGCAACUAGCACCGGAAUAUUACCUCUCGUGAAAAAGAUGUUUGAGGUACAUCCUCAGGCGGCUGAGGCGCACGAUAUCGGCAAUCAACAAAACAUUUUGCAUAUGUCGAUUAAGCACCGUCAGUUGCAGAUAUUUAGGCUUGUGAAGAGAAGCAGAUCAAUAACGUCGAGGUUAUCUUCGAGGAUUGACAGUGAUGGAAAUACCAUAUUGCAUCGAGCUGCAGAUAUGACAUAUUACUCUCCAGACACUCAAAGUGUAAGUGGUCCUGCAUUGCAAUUACAAGAAGAAUUACGUUGGAUGGUGGUGAGUGACUCUGGCCCUAGUUAUAUUCUCUUUCACGGUUUUUUAUACAAUUGAUAUUUUAACAUUAAAUUCAUCGACAUAUAAACUACAGAAUGAGAAAUUCGAACUUGGAGAAACAUUCUCUCAGUUUGAAUAAACUAUUAUUCAUCUUGGGUAAACAUAGUUUAAUUUGAAUUAUCAAAAUUAUGGGAAAUUACAUAAUUUUGUUGUAAAUAAUUAAUUGAAUAUAUUCUACAGUUAAUAUCAGCCACCUAAAAUCUAAUGAGUCUUCCCAUAAAAAAUUAAAAGUAAAAAAAAUAAUAAUGAGCCUUCCUUUUAUUCAUAUUGGAAACAAAAAUAUGCUAGACUAAGAAUUGAAAUGGUUAAUUCAUACAUUAAUAGUUAGUUUUACCAAUUUGUUGGUAGCGCGUGAGAAAGAUAAUGCCUCCUCAUUACAUGAUGCACCGCAACAACAUGGGUAUGACAGCGGAGGAGCUCUUCAAUACUGAGCAUGCAAAGCUUCUUCAUUCGGCACAAACAUGGAUAAGAGGCACUGCUCAGUCAUGCUCGGCCGUGGCAGCUCUAGUGGCCACUGUGGUCUUUGCAGCCGCCUACACUGCUCCCGGGGGUUACAGUUCAGGCGGUGCUCCUGUUCUUCGACAUUCUCCCUUCUUCACUACCUUUAUCAUCACAGAUGUUGUCUCGCUCAUCAGCUCAUUGUCUUCUCUCGUCACGUUUCUCUCGAUCUUGACAUCUCCGUUUGAGUACAAAAACUUCCAUCAAUCUCUUCCGCUCAGGCUGCAUUUAGGAUUUGCCUUUCUUUUCUUCUCGCUAGUGACGACCAUGCUCGUGUUCACCGCUACAGCUGUGCUCUUGAUUCAUCUCGAUGAGGAAUUGACAAGGUCUCUCCUUUAUGUUGCUGCCUUUCUUCCUGUGUCUGUAUUUGGGCUCAUACAGCUUCCUUUGUAUGCGGGAUUUUCUCAUGCCCUGAUAUUUCUAUUUAAAAAAGUUAAGAAGUUUAUAAUUUCGUUUUUCCCUGUAAAGGAAAUCCUCAAUCAGUAAGGGUAUUAUUGAAUGUUGAUUUGUGUGUUGCAAGUCCAAACCAAAAUAAAUACCAAUAAUUACAAAUUGGUGAGAUAAUGGACGAUUGACUUCACAGCUUUUUUUAUAUUUUUAGCUAAGCAUUUUUUUACCAUUUAAAUAUCUAUGUAGCAGAUAUCUUUGAUUUUGGGAGCUAUUAUUUAUUUAUUUAUUUAUUGAAAUGUAUUCAACAACAAGAAUUGUAAUCUUUAUUCAAUAAUCAGUGUGUGUUGUUUUCUCAAAUAGUUGUUACUCCCUUUAUUUCAUUGUUCAAGUUUUCUGAGAGUGUUAAUGAGAGGUGUGAAAUAUAGCUUGUAAAUUAUCGCCUAUAUUUUUUUUAACAAACGAUCUACACUAAAGGGAUGAGAGAAUCUCACAAUAACUAGCAAGAAUAUGGUUCAAAUUCACCUUUGGCAAAAAUCGAACCUAAUACCUGUUGGAAUUUAGGAUUAUUUUGUUAUUUGAAUUUGGGCUUAGCCCGUUAGUAUUAGGGUUUCGUUUUCUUGCUUAUUAGGGUUAGGUUAGUUCUCUAUAUAUAUGAUGUUUUGUAGCUCGUAGAAUAUCAACUUAGUCACAAUGUAACCUUCUAGGAUUUUGUAGCCGUUCCGGCAUUCUCGUUAGUUUAAUAAUAUUCCUAUUAUUUUGUAGUCUUGUUCGUUGCGCCCUCUGAUAUUCAACUUGGUAUCAGAGCAGGUUAAAUCCUUCGAGAAUUAAUCUGUUUUGGGGUUGAUAUCGAUUUGUUUGUUUGUUCAGUAUCAGUUUUGUUUUAAUUAGGGUUUUGUUGUUUGUAAACAAAGGAAAAAAGUUGAAUCUGUUUGCCUGGGAUUUGGGAGGCACGCCGCGCCGUUCGUUAUCUGCCAGAACCCAAACCUGCAUCGAAGCAACCGAUUGCAUCCAUCCCGCAUACCUGAAAACCCCAGCACUGAAGGAACCUACAACCUAGAUCCCAACCCGCCGAUCUAACUGAUCCACCACACCACUGCUACACCUAUGUCUUGCACCACUGAUGUACCUGCUGCCAUCCCUGACUCCAGAUGCUUCGCUCCCUAACCUGUUGCUGCACAUCUGCCACUAUGCCGACCAAGCCCACCUGAUCAUAUUUGUUGAACCCAUCAACCUGCAUCAAACCCGCCAUCACGCCCACCAUAAAACAAAACAAAAAAGGAAAAAAAAAAGAAAAAAAGAUACAAAAAAUGGAGCUUGCCUUGUCGUGUCCGCCUAACAAAGCUUGUCUUGUCUUGUCUGCCUAACGGAGCUUGCAUCCGCAUCUGCUUGUUGGCAAACUCAUGGCGUGAGUUUGACGAGCGAUGUUGGAGUUUAGGAUUAUUUUAUUAUUUGAAUUUGGGCUUAGCCUGUUAGUAUUAGAGUUUCGUUUUCUUGCUUAUUAGGGUUAUGUUAGUUCUCUAUAUAUAUGAUGCUUUGUAGCUCGUAGAUUAUCAAGUUAGUCACAAUGUAGCUUUCUAGGGUUUUGUAACCGUUCUGGCAUUCUCGUUAGUUUAAUAAUAUUCCUAUUAUUUUGUAGUCUUGUUCGUUGCGCACUAUGAUAUUCAACUUACCUCUCACGUAAAAGUGAAGAUGAAUACCACUAAACCGUAAUACUAAGUGGCAAAUUUAUCACCUAUAUUAAUUUGAUAAUAGUUGAUAGACCAAAAGUGGUCACUGAGCCAGUGCUCAUCAAAGAAUGUUAAAGAGCAGGACACCCCAAGGAGCGAGGAGCGGAUAGAAACCAAUAAUGCAUAUCUAAGGGACUAUUUGAUAACCAUUUCGUUUUUUAUUUUUGGGUUUUCAUUUUUCACUUUUUUGAAAAAUCAAGAAAGUAGUUUUGGUUCUUGUUUGGUAACUACUUUCAGUUUUCACUUUUUUGAAAAAUCAAGAAAGUAGUUUUCAUUUUUGAAAAAUCAAGAAAGUAGUUUUGGUUCUUGUAACUACUUUUAGUUUCCAAAAAAAAUGAAAACUGAAAACCAAAAAACGAAAAACUCAAGGCCAAAUUUUGAAAAAUCAAGAAAGUAGUAUUUAGUUUUCAUUUUGCUGAAAACUGAAAAUGGUUAUCAAACAAGAUUUCAGUUUUUUUAAAAGUGAAGAAAAAAAACUGAAUACAAAAUGGUUAUCAAAUUGCUAGAUUUUUUGAAAACUGAAAAUAGUUAUCAAACAAGAUUUCAACUUUCAGUUUUUUAAAAAGGGAAAACAAAAACUGAAAACGAUAUGAUUCUAAGAGUGUCAAGAGCAUGCUCAAGUUCUUGAAGCCAAAGGAAGGAAGUUUGAUGACAAUGGCGAAAAGUGUGAGUUGGGGAGAGCUAUAUGGGUAUCCACAUGUCGACCCCAGUUAAGAGAAUACCCCAGUUAAGAGAAUUAUACUCAAUAUUGGAAAAGCUCUAUGCUAUUAUCAUUCUGUUUCUACUUUUUAGUUCUUUCUUCUGUAAUUAGAGAGAACUAUAGAGGAGACUAGUAAGAGAUGCCCGCGCAAUGCUGCGGGAUUGAAAACUGUAUGAAAUUUUGUGUAUAGCACUAUGUACAUACAAAAAUACUCGAUCUAUAUGUACAUACUAUUUUACGUGCAAAAGAUUUGGUAGAUAAUCCUAUUUACAUACAAAAGUGAAUGCUUGAAGCAUAUGUAUAUAAUAUUUACAUACCAAAGAUUUACGAAAUUGUCCUACCUACAUACAAAAGAUGGUCGAAAGAUACUAUGAUAAAGAAAUCUAGUGAACUAUUUGAGUUUUAAGCGAAUGGGAUAAAGAGAUCAUGUUUAAUAGGUCGUUAAAAAUUCAAAAAGUAGAGAACAAUGAAAGGGUAUACAUACUCUGUUUUGCAGCCAUAAAUAUGGUUUCAGAAAUGAUUGGGGAAUCUGAUACAUUUCUGGUUGGAGCCUUUGGAGUAAGAGUCGUGUCUGAUAUUUCCUUUGCUGCAACAUCACUAAUAAAAAGGUAAAUAGAGGAAAAUAAAAGUGUUAUUAAAUAUUGAGUAGUGUGGAAUUUCGAACAAUGAAAAACUAUGAACUUGAUAUCAACGUUUGUGAGACGAAUAAAUUUGAGAUGAAGAUAAUACAUACUGGAUUUUGGGACACAUAAAAAUGAUUCCGGAAUUGCUUGGGGUUGCUUUGAUUUUCGGAGAAAUGAUAGGGGCACCGUUGAAAUUUGAGUCAAAAGCUGAUACUUUUUCUAUGAAGCUUUUGUGCCGUCACUGAGAUGUAAAACAAAGGAUAAUUAAAGGUGAACAUUGAAAAUGCAGAGGUUAAAAUUAAAGGCAUUAUAUAAAUGUAAAACACACUCGCAUUUAUACGUAAGCAAUAAUGCUAACAUGACACUACAGAUGUAAAAUUUAAAAUAAAAAUAAAAAAUCUUGUCAAAACCCACUUCCCUGUCAGGUCAUAAUUUUACAACCACCAAAAAAUAACGGAAGGGCAUGCCAUGAUCUCUAGAAAAUGAUAAUCACUUUUUUUUUCUGAAAUUGCUCACCUUCCUUAAUCUUUUCUAAAGAAGCAAUGAUUCGCAUCCUGUAACCAAAUCAGAAAAUAACAUAUGAUUACCCAAAACCCAUCUCAGGUAAACUAAUCGCAAAAAAAUUAAAAAACUCAUGCAUUCAAAUUUCAAAGAGCAAACAAAAUUAACAAUAAUAAAAUUAAGAAGUGAAAGCUGACAGACCUUGAGAUCGAAUAUGUCCUUCCUUUUGGGUCUCUUGUUCAAUAAUGCGUCAACACAGUGAAUACAAUCUUUUUACUUGCUCUCCCUGCAUAUCCUCGACAACUAAAAAACAGCAGAAGCACAACAACUACUGAGCAUUAAACCUAAACCCAACUAAGGAGAUCAGGUAAUCUACUCAAACAUACCAACUCAGUCCUUGGGCCGCUUCAACUUUGCAAAUACACGACCUUCUGUCCUUGCAUUUGACAAUAAUUUUCAUGACUCAUAGUUUUUAACUACCCAUACCUAUACCCAACUGUCAAUUACCUAGUCAGUGCACCAAAUUGUGAGGCUGUUCCAGGUUUUUGUUCUUGAUACUUACAAAAAUGUGAAACCUUAUAAGUAAAUUGAAAAAUAAGGUAUGAUAUUGUUGCUAGGUGAAGUGCUUGGCACAUUUUUAUAUGCAAAAUAAUAAUAAUAAUAAUAACAGAAUUCUGUAUCAUUGAUGGAGCUAUUAAGGUUCUUCACUUUAACAUCUCGAUUAAAUAACAAAAUGGCCGUUGAUGAAAUCAUAAGAUAUUUAUGUGAAUGAUGUGAUGACUUAAUGAGGGCUAUCUUGUAUAAAGGUCGUACCCAGUGCACAAGGCUCCCGCUUUACGCAGGGUCUGGGAGAGGUAAAUGUCGGCUAGCCUUACCCCCAUAUAUGGAGAGGCUGCUCCCAAGUCUCGAACCCGAGACCUACCGCUCAUGGGCGAGGGCUAUCUUGUAUGUGUUAAUAUAUUGAGAAAGAAGAAAGUUGAAAGUAUAGUCAAAUAGAUUAAAACGUUUAACUUUUCGUGGCUGUAAUUCUGUUUUUCAGUCAUGUUGAAUAACAGCUUCUUCUACAUUUGGCUUCUCUGAAUGUUUUAAGGUUGCAAGUUUCCCAUUUGAUGAUCAUAAUUGCCCCCCCCAAUCGAACUCAUAGAAUCUUUCUGUCGAAGUGCUCAUUCAUGGUUACAGGAUGGCAUCGAAAAUGUUGUGGUGGUUCAUUGCAAAGCUGGUAUGGCAAGGACAGGAGUGACGAUUGGUAGCCUUCUCUUAUUUCCUAAGGUAAGAUCAAUAAUCAGCACCUUAAGACCUGGGGUUGUAUGGUGGAAAUGUUGGUGCUUCUUCUGGCUUUAUAUUUCUUGCACUUAUGACUAUAACUUUUUCUUGUUUGUUUUUCCAUGUAUCUGCAGUUCUUCCCUACGGCUGAGGAGGCCAUGAAUUACUAUAACCAUAUAAGGUGUAUAGAUGGAAAAACUCUGGUUGUCCCAAGUAAGAUUGUGAGUCAGUUAAAUUUUUGGAUUUCCCGUUUAAGCUUGAUGUUCCUUAUCUAUCUACAUCAUUGUGAUUAACAAUUUUUUCUAUGAUUUUCCCAGAGAUACAUCAAAUGCUUUGAGCAUAUCUUAAAACACUUCAAUGGAGAAACUCCUCCAGAUCGGAGGUACACGUCUGAUACACUUGUCCAAAAUGUAUCAGUCUGACCUUUCACUUAUAUAUAUAUGUAUCUAAGUGGUACAUUGGUGUUGUAAUGAGGACCUAUUUACUCCUUAAGUUUAAAGCAUAAAUAAAACUAAACAAAAUCAACCCCAAAAAACAACCAAAUUCAACUUCAUUAUAAACUUAAACAAAACCAACUCCAAGGUGCAACCGAAUUUAACUCCAAUAUAAUAAAACUUAAUACAAAAAUCUAAAACCACCAGAAAUUUAAAUUGCUUACCUUGAGAGGGCUUCGGAAAACGACGGCGCUAAAGCCUGAAAACAAAAACCCAAAAAUCCACGAAUGUAACUCUUUAAAAAACAAAAAACAAAAAAAAACAAAAAAAACUUAAUUCUACAACAAAACCCAAAAGCGAGCAACCAAAGUUUCUCACCUUAAGCAUAAAUGUCUUCCAAAGCUGCAUACUAAAGUUCCAAAAAAAUAGAAACCUGAAAUUCAAAAGAACACCUGAUUAUACACCCACAUGCAAAACCCGAUGGCAAAAAAACAAAGAAAAAAAAUCCAAAAUCCAAAAACCAAAAACCAAAAAUGAGAAGAGAAACAAUUUCAACAAAAAGUCCAUUUGUCAAGACCCACAACACAACUUAACUAAAACACUCACGGAUUAAAAGUUUUUCCCCAAAAACCCCCAUCUCUGUCAUCAAACGAAAACUCCGAAAGCAAAAACCCAUUUAAAAUUGAACCCAAAAAAAUUAAAAGCUUCUAACAUUUGGGCAAGACAACCAAAAAUGAAAUCGAACUGCAAUGCAAAACUCAAAAGCUUAGAAAUCACUAACCUUAAUACGUAAAAAUUCUCUCAACAGACAGGCUGAAACAAAACGGUGAAAAAGACGAAAUCGAUCCAACGUACGGAUGGCAGCCAAAAACAGAGAAGAACAGCCAACAAUGAUUGCAAAAAUCAAAGAUCGUGUCUCGCCGGAGAUAAUUUCGCGAAACGAAAAGGAAGAAAUUGAGAGAAAUCAGAGCGCACAACGACGACGAAGGAAAACCCAGUUGAGGAAAGCAGAAAAUGGAGAACUGAAAGGUAAAGUGAAAGAGAUGAAUGGAAGGAGAGAAAGAAACGACACAGAACCCUUGGGAUCAAUGGGUAAAACCGGCAAUUGACUGCACACAUAAGGGCAAAGCUUAGAAAACCCGAGGGCAUUACCGUACUUUUACUGUUCAUGAACAAUGAAAACAGUGCUGGGGGAACUGGGUUUUAUUAUAUGUAGGAUCACACGCUUUUAAUAGAGGAGUUGUAUUUUCGCUCUAUAAGCGAUUUGGGUUUACAUCAAAUUAGCUAUAGCCGGGGGUUAAAAGGUUGUGAAUAUCAAGAAAUUUUUUAGUACGUGACAAACACAAUUCAGUAUAUUAAGUGUUAUAAUACAAUUUGUUAGGAUUGUUUUUAAAGUUUUUAACCAAUUCUAUUAUUAAAGCAUCUCCAAAAAAACGUUAAAUAUUGAACACCAAAUUUGAAUGUGAUGAUCUACGUGGCAGUUUGACAUCAUGUUAAAAUUGAAUUGCCAACCAAUGUGUCUAAUAUAUUACUUUUAUUUUAAGAUUACUUUUUCAAAUCAUAAUAAAUAUUAAAAGAAAUAUAAAAUAUCUACACGUAUACCAAGUAUUCAAUGCAAGGCUGGUCCAAAAGUUAAAAGAAAAAAACGAAAUAAUAAUAAUAAUUAUUAUUUGGCAUAUGCAUUUUGGAGGCGGCACUUUUGACGCCUCCCACCAAGCCUUCAAUCCACGGGUUGGAAUGAAAUGAGAUACCAUUUUUUACCAUUACAUGUCUACUUGGCAAUUUAAAGCAUUGGUUGGAGAUGCUCUUGUAUUUGGUUUAUCGAGUCAUAUUCUUGAUACACUGAAAAAUCUCUUGUGACCAACACUAAAGGCUAAAAUAUCAUCCGCCCCUAAAAAUAAUAGGAGUCAUCAGAAAAAGCAAGAAUUAAAAGAAAGAGAAACGAUGAGGAUCAAUGCUAACACACUUUACAAUAAAGCUGGUAAGAACACAGAUGGUAACUUUAGAUCUUUUCAAAACUCUUUUUUUUCAGCUUUUGACAUUAUAGAAUUUGAUGCAUCUAAUUCUUUGAUGCAAAUUGCAUAUAUAAUUCUCUUAGAAAACUUUGCAGUUAUUCUUUAACUUUGUUUCUUGAUUAAGCAAUGUACUAUGUGCAGCUUACCAUCUAGCUAGCUUGAUGGUGAAUAUUGUACAGAAAAAAAGGCCAGAAUAUGGACUAUAAAAUGAAGCAAAUGAGUCACAUACAAUACCACUGUGUAAAUUGUACGAGAGAGAGAUUGAAGAGAGAGAUGGAAGAGAGAAAAAGAUGAGAAAAUAUAAAGAGCGGGAAAGGGUUUGAGUCGAACAAAAAGGCCAUAUCAAUGGGCUAUAGACGACAACUGGGAAUGCCUGAAACAAUACUAUAAGACAAACUGGGAAGAGGUAUUCAGUCCAUUGACAACGAACGACAACACUGUACUUCAGAUCGUAGCCUCCGCCGAGCGAAGCGACGUGCUCGAGUUCUUGAUUUCACUAGUGACAACUGCGACCAAUGACCCUAGAGAGUUACGGCAUGCCUUGGUGCUAAAGAAUGGCCACGAGAACACCAUCCUCCACGAGGCGGCAGCGUAGGGAAACCUAGAAGUGGCAAAGCGUCGGGAAACAUAGAAGCGGCAAAGCGUUUGGUAGGACAUGAAUGUGUAUUAUUACAUUUGGUAUGUCGAACUGUGUUCCCAACAUACUGAAAAACCUCUCGUGACCAACACUAAAGGCUAGAAUAUCAUCCGCCCUUAAAAAAUAAUAGGAGUCACCGAAAAAAGCAACAAUUAAAAGAGAAGGAAACGAUGGGAGCAGUUCUAGUGUUGUUAGGCCCCCUGGGCAAUAGGCGAUUCAAACCCCCAAGUAAAUAGUAAUUGUCUGUACUAAAUAGUAAUUGUCUAAGUGCAUUUACACCUCUAAACUGAAUACUCUAGGCAAUUCGUAUUAAAAUAUUUUGUUUUAUUUUUAAAUUUGGAUAAUAAUAAAAGAUCGGUUGAAAAUAUUUGAAAAUAUUAAAAUGUGGUGUAAGAUGGAAGAACGUGGCUCAGUAUUUAUAGAAAAUUAUAAUUUUUUUAAAUACUUUUUUGUAAUUUUAAUUAAUUUGUUCAUAAUUUUUGGUAUUUUAAUUAACUUUUAAUUAUUUUUUAUAAUUUUUUAAUAGUGACUGAUGUCACCGUUAUAUCACAUAACUUAGGAGCUGGGCUAGGCAAUUCUGACCUUGGGGGACUAACUGGGCUCCCUCGUAGCCCAGUAAACUUAGGUGGGCUAGAGGGGAUUUUGGUGGGGAGAGGGGAUUUAGGCUGGAAGUGCUACGAGGAUCAAUGCUAACACACUUUAUCUCAAAUUAUGUAGCAUCACGCUGGAAGUGCUAUGAGGAUCAAUGCUAACACACUUUAGAGGAAGACAGCUAGUAACUUUGGAUCUUUACAAAACUCUCUUUUUUCAGCUUUUGACAUUACAUAAUUUGAAAGCAUCUAAUUCUAUGAUGCAAAUUGCAUAUAUAAUUCUCUUAGAGAACUUUGCAUUUAUUCUUUAACUUUGUUUUUUGAUUAAGCAACGUACCUAUGUGAAAAUAGAAAGAUAUGAAAGAGAGAGAGAAAGAGAGGUUGGAGAAAGAGAGAGAAGAAGAUGAGAAAACAGAAAGAGCGGGAGAGGCUUUGAGUCAAUCAAAAUGGCCAUAUAAAUGGGCCAUGCACGACAACUGGGAACCCUUGAAACAAUACUAUAAGAGAAACUGGGAAGAGGUAUUCAUUCCAUUGACAACAAACAACGACACUGUACUUCACGUCGUAGCCUAUGCCGGGCAGAGCGACGUGCUCGAGUUCUUGAUUUCACUUGUGACAACUGCGACCAAUGACCCUAGAAAGUUACGGCAUGCCUUGGUGCUGGAGAAUGGCCAUGGGAACACCAUCCUCCACGAGGUGGUGGCGUCGGGAAACCUGAAAGCUGCAAUGUUGUUGGUAAGCCACGAUAACAGCGUUAGGAGUGAGCUAAUUGCUAGACAGGAUGCUGAUCAAACCAAUGAGUACGAGCGAGAUGUUAUUGAUGCUUGGUCUAGAAGUAUUGUGGAGAUCGAGAACAAGUUAGGAGAAACGCCCAUCUACAGGGCAGCUUCUUACGGUCAUACAAAAUUGGUCGAUUUUUUCCACAAACAAAAUGUGAAUAUAGAGCGCCACUUCACCAGAUCUGUUGAUCGCAUGUCCGUUCUUCAUAUCGUUGUCAUUAACCAACAUUUUGGUCUCUCUCUCUCUCUCUCUCUCUCUCUCUCUCUCUCUCUCUCUCUCUCUCUCUCUCUCUCUCUCUCUCUCUCUCUCUCUCUCUCUCUCUCUCUAUAUAUAUAUAUAUAUAUAUAUAUAUAUCUCCAUUCAAAAUAUAAUUAUUCAUCAAAGUUAGACAAUAAUUAAUAUAUAAUAUAGUUGGGCUUGUUUAUAUUGGUGGGGCUCCUUCAAGGCGUAUGUUAUUUAGAGUUUGAGUAAGUGUUUGACUUUUGUGUUUCCACUUUUCACAAAUAAUGCAGACACUGCUCUUUGGCUACUGAAAAAGUACCCAUUUCUUGCAAAAACAAAGGAAGACGAUGGUUUCACAAGCCUUCAAUUGCUAGCCAAGAUGCCAUCUGCCUUCCAAGUCUACAAUCGCGAAAGCUUAUGGAAGAUGCUUAUUCAUAAAUGUACGUAUCUAUACGCUUACAUUAAACACAAUAAUGUGCAUAGUAUUAUUAGUAACUAACAAUAAAUAAAAAAUAAAAACUCCAUUUCUUUCUAAUCUCUUUUAAAUAACUAUACUAAUUACCUGUACUCUAGUGAAAAUACUUGUUUUACUCCUGCUAACGGAGUGCAAGAGAAGACUUUACAGUGCUUCCCUUUUUAUCUUAAUUACAUAUAUUGAGGCCUCUCAGAAGAUGAUAGUGUUGAUGCGGCCGCACCAAAUCAAAACGGUGAUAUAGAGAGCAGAUGGAUUCCACAGCUUCCCACAGCUUGCUUGUCGAAGAAGCUCACAAGUAAAUAAAACUCAAACCUCGAAUAUAUAAAUCGACGUAUUUAUUAUUGUCUUCUGUUGUUUGCUGUUUUGCUCCUGUGAACUUUAUGUUUUGUUCAAUUCUUAAUUAUAUAUAUAGACUAAAAGAUCAACAUGUAAGAAUAAAUCUGACCUUUACAAAUCAAAGAAGAUGAAGUUAUAAUCGACUUCAAUAGUAAGCUUUUUCUCUUUGCUAGAUAAAACCAAACAAUAAGUCCCUACAAUUUAUAAUGAGCGUAUUUUUUUUUUUUGUGAGAGAAGUGACUACAAUUUAUAUUGACAAACAAUAUAUCAUUAUGAUUCUCCUCAGAAUCUUGGUAGAUUGUCUCCCAUAUUUAAUAUAAGUGAGUAAUUUAGGAUCAAAUUCCUAGUUUCAAUUCUUUAUUAACUAGGACAUCCAAACCUCUCCAAUUAGACUUUUCUAAACCAAUUUGAACUCACAUGCUGACCAAUAUACACCUACACUUAUGCUCAUAUUGUAACAAAACAUAUGUGUUCAUACCUUUCCAAUCAUACUCUCUAUUUUUAUUUUUAUUUUUAAAAUUGCUUCAAAAGACUAUGAACCAAUAGAAAUGUAAUUUUUAUUUCAAAUAUUAAGAACAUAGUAGUAAAAUUAACGUUACUAGUCAUUAGGAGCUUCUUUUUCCCUUUCCAUAUUUAAGAGCUACUGGAGGAUUUGCUAUCCUAGGAGCAUGAUUGGUGAUGUUAUUGAAGAUGAAUUUUUUAAUUAUCACUAAAUUUUAGCAAGGAGCCCAUUGGAGCUCUUGUUACAAAGUGAAAGUGUUACUAGCCUCUUUAAUAAUCAUUUCAUCUUCAAUUUUAGUUUUCAUUGCAUUAGAAAUUAAGGAGACCUGCACAGAAAUGUGGGAAAUAGAAUAGCGGAGGAAGGAUGAGAAAAGACGCAGAACCAUAGGAUAAGGAAAGAAAUUAAAGAAAAAACAUUAUUGGAGUACCAUCUCAUUUAGCAAGUGAUGCAUAUAAUUAAUAUUUAAUAAGAGAAAUUCAUUAAUUGACGUAACAUAUACACAUUACUUGCCACAUUAAAUAAUAUACAAAUAUGAUAUAAAAAUCUGAUCUCCGUAUCAUUUCCCAAAAUUAUUUUAAAGUUCUUUUCAGUACUUAAGCCUUGAAAUAUGGAACCUGAUGGGGUCCCGAUACAACCUUAAUCAUAAAAAUCUCAAACGCAGAAAAAUCCGG
rnacentral:lncRNA from 1 species